rnacentral:miRNA from 1 species
GAAACAAGGAAGUGGAGACAACGUUUCGGCUCCUCUCUGAGCCUUUAUCAAGUCUUAGGCUCAGAGAGGAGCCGAAACGUUGUCUCCACUUCCUUGUUU